GGGGGGCUCAGGCUGCAAAGGCGUCGGGUUUGUCAGCUGGUUCACUCCUAGGACACGGAGAGGGACUGACACCUAGGUUAUAAGGUGCAGGUGAAGUGUCUCAUCUACAGAUCCACUCAAUAGCCGAGCAAGACUUUGAACUCCUGAUCCGCCUGCUUCUACAGCCCAGGUGAUGGGACUAUGGGUGUAUGCUACGUGCCGAGCCCUUGCAUAAAUCUCAACUUUUUGUGAGAUUUGGAAAAAACAGCCCGAAACUACAAAACAGCUCGGCAUGGCAAUGGUGAUUGCAGCUGUGUGACUCCCCGAUUGUACAGACCCCCGCGACUAGGAUUUACACUUCAAAUUGCUGCCAUCCGGAAAGCAUCAGAGCUUUAGUGGCUGCAACAGGUGCUGCGUGUGACUGUCACUUUUAAACAAAUAGCGCAUCUUCUGGGAAGAUGCUCCGAUUUUUUAAAAAGGCACAGAUGUAGAUUUCAUUUUAUUAUGAUUGAUAAAGGAACGUAAAUCGCCUUCAAUUGGAGGAAGACAUUUAUUUUCAAGUUAACUACUGAAUUCAUUUUCCGGAAACAAGCUUGAAUUGCUCAAGUUAAUUUCUUUACAGAAGGAGCUCUGGAAGCCAAUUCUCUUUCCAAACUAAGAUUACUACCAUUUGAAUCCAAUGAAGAAAAGGGGGAGAGAAGAGUAGACAACCUUAUCCUUAUCCAUGCGCAGGUGACUGUAACCUACCCAGUUUUCCCUCCUGUCUUGCCUAUAUUUCUUUAGAGUAAUUGCAGAAUCUAUGGGCAAAGCAUGGGCCUGCCCCAACUAACCUGGACAUUGUUCCGGCCCCUCCUUUGGGAGGAACUACUCCUGACAGUCCAAACUUGAUUCCACUCCAUUCGAAGCAGGAUGACCUUUUCAAUUUUUUGCCUGCAACGGAACAGUGACCUGUUGGGAGCAGUGAGACCCCAGAUCCUGAAUUUCUUGUAAACAACUUGUUUUCCCCUGAUCUGAGUGCCUACAGCUGCUCUGAGCACGAGACCUUCAGGAGUUCCUGAUGGCAGGAGAGUGGUUUCUGGUGGGUUUGGCUGGGGCGUGGCUAGCUCUAUAUAAUCUGCCCCUGAACACAAUAAAGGGAGCAUUCUUGGGGCUUUUGGUAUCAGUGUUAAGAGGUCUGCGUGUCGGUCUGUCUCUGCGUCUGUAUUCUCAACCUCCAGCCCCUUGCCUGAAGCUCGCGAACUGGGGUCUAGCGCA